rfam:Idiomarina salinarum strain ISL-52 contig4, whole genome shotgun sequence.
CCGCAACAUCAAGAGAAGAGCAACGCUCUCGCCAACCUGCUUUCGGGUAAGGUGGCCUCCGACUCCCAGUCGGGAUGUGCCUAUUAUGAGAAUAGGAAUCAUCAGAGAUUGC